CUUUGGAUGAUGACCAUCCAGUAAGCAAAGUGGUGCCAUUUGCGAGGUAAGGCUGGAAUGAGAGCCCAAAUUCUUUGUUCAUGUGGGUUGGUGACGCGUCCAAUGAGAGUCUUCGCGUUUUCUUUGAUAAGAGCAGAGUUAUCAACACUAGGGGCUUUGAUUCUUUUUAUGUUUGUUGCUCAGAUCAGCUCGGUGAGUAACAGGAUUUGAGAUGUGGUAUCUUCAACUCUCUCGUG